rfam:Anaerolineaceae bacterium oral taxon 439 strain W11661, complete genome.
GUUGGUGACGAAAGCGACGUGGGAAUACCCGGACACAUCCCGAACCCGGAAGUCAAGCGCGUCAACGCCGAUGGUACUUGGAGGGCGACCUCCUGGGAGAGUAGGAAAUCGCCAACG